UACGUAGGGUGCAAGCGUUGUCCGGAAUUAUUGGGCGUAAAGAGCUCGUAGGCGGUUUGUCGCGUCUGCUGUGAAAUCCCAGGGCUUAACCCUGGGCCUGCAGUGGGUACGGGCAAGCUAGAGUGCGGUAGGGGAGAUCGGAAUUCCUGGUGUAGCGGUGAAAUGCGCAGAUAUCAGGAGGAACACCGAUGGCGAAGGCAGAUCUCUGGGCCGUAACUGACGCUGAGGAGCGAAAGCAUGGGGAGCGAACAGG
rnacentral:rRNA from 1 species